AUGGGGUUUGUUAAAUUGAAUGUGGACGCUUCUUUUGACCAUGAUCAACUAAGGGGCACUAUGGAUGAGGUUAUCAGGGAUGACAAAGGAAAGUUCAUUGUAGGUGGAAACUGGAAGAUUGAGUGUUGUGCAGAUGUUAUAACAGCAGAGGCAUUAGCACUUAGGUUUGGCUUAUUGUUGACACAAAAGGCGGGUUGCAAUAGUCUGAUUGUCAAUUCUGACAACAUGGAAGUCAUUGGCACAAUAAAGAACGGAGGACAUUCUGCAGGAGCGGCUGCUGUAAUUUUUAGGAUUGUUUUCUAUGGCUUGUGA
rnacentral:rRNA from 1 species